UCGAUGCGUCUUCUUUUUUUUUUUUGGUCAUACUUCUGCACUGUGAAUUGGCCGCAAGGACCAACACAGGUGACCGUAAUUGAACACGUGACUGAACGAGACUGGACUACAGUUCGGUGCCCCGCGAACAGCGGUCGCUUUCAGGCAACGCUGCCCGGGAAUCCGCUGGCGAGUGCCCGGCGUUGGCAGGGGCGCCGUCCCAUCCGCGUGUUCUCCCACGAGCGAUGUGCAACGCCCCACGCGGACACAGGGACGAGCGCUGGCUGGCUCGCUUCGUCGCGGAAAUGCACAGCCGUCAGCGGCCAAAAAGGAGGAGGAAGGAUGCGCCGGAAGUGGAAACGGUUACCCGACAACGGACCACCUCUGGUUUGCUUCCUUUCUUUAUGCUGCCGCUGCUACCCUCGCAUUCACGGCCCUGAUCUUCCAGCCUCGCGUGCAAGGCCGACGAACAAGGCCUCGGCGGGGAGGAGGAGAAACAAAGGCGAUUCAUGGCAGAGGGACGAAGGACGCCCAUAGGCCACGACGAAGAGGACAUUGUUUGCACAAUGAGGGCGGCACAAGGACGAAAGCGUACGUUCGAGCAAAAGAGAAGACGAAUAUUGUUUUUUUGUUUUGUUUAAAUAAGAAAAUAAAGAGGAAAUAAAAGAAAACAGCCGCUUGGGAAUCGAGCCGGGCAAGGCGCCACCGUCAUUAAAGUCGCACGCGAGGGAGGA